rnacentral:rRNA from 1 species
AGGAGGCAGCAGUGGGGAAUGUUGCAUAAUGGGCGAAAGCCUGAUGCAGCAACGCCGCGUGUGCGAUGAAGGCCUUCGGGUUGUAAAGCACUUUUGAUCGGGAAGAGAAAGGACGGUACCGGUCGAAUAAGCCUCGGCUAACUACGUGCCAGCAGCCGCGGUAAAACGUAGGAGGCGGGCGUUAUCCGGAUUUACUGGGUGUAAAGCGCGUGCAGGCGGUUGGCUAAGUUGGGUGUGAAAGCUCCUGGCUCAACUAGGAGAGGUCGCUCAAAACUGGCCGACUGGAGAACAGUAAGGGAAGGUGGAAUUCCGGGUGUAGUGGUGAAAUGCGUAGAUAUCCGGAGGAACACCAGUGGCGAAGGCGGCCUUCUGGACUGUUCCUGACGCUCAGACGCGAAAGCUAGGGGAGCAAACGGGAUUAGAUACCCCAGUAGUCC